AUUGAACGCUGGCGGCAUGCUUUACACAUGCAAGUCGAACGGUAACAGGCCUUCGGGCGCUGACGAGUGGCGAACGGGUGAGUAAUGCAUCGGAACGUGCCCAGUCGUGGGGGAUAACGCAGCGAAAGCUGUGCUAAUACCGCAUACGAUCUGCGGAUGAAAGCGGGGGACCUUCGGGCCUCGCGCGAUUGGAGCGGCCGAUGUCAGAUUAGGUAGUUGGUGGGGUAAAGGCUCACCAAGCCAACGAUCUGUAGCUGGUCUGAGAGGACGACCAGCCACACUGGGGCUGAGACACGGCCCAGACUCCUACGGGAGGCAGCAGUGGGGAAUUUUGGAAAAUGGGCGCAAGCCUGAUCCAGCAAUGCCGCGUGCAGGAAGAAGGCCUUCGGGUUGUAAACUGCUUUUGUACGGAGCGAAAAGGCUCCCUCUAAUACAGGGGGCUCACGACGGUACCGUAAGAAUAAGCACCGGCUAACUACGUGCCAGCAGCCGCCGUAACAC
rnacentral:rRNA from 1 species